GUAAGAGGGAAUUAAAAUCCAAAGAAAAAUAAAUAAAACAAGCAUUCUCGGUGGCUCACUCUGAGGCCUACAGCUGGGUGAAACCCAUUUUUCUCACACUUUGAAGCUCACAUUCUGGUGAGGGAAAACCUUCCACGUGAAAUCUGGGCUCCGAAUGAAGAAGGUCACUGCAAAGAAAAGAUACGGAUCAAGGGGACUACAGGAUGUGCAUGAAUCAAAGGCAGCCUGACCAGAUCGUGGAGAGAGGCACACCCAGCGACAGUCCUGCAGCUCUCCUUGGGAUUAAGGCAGCUACUGUUGGAAAAGCUUCUUGUCUGUGUGAGGGACAAGCUGGGACUGGGGAUGGGCUAUGUACCCUGUUUACUAGCUGAAGGACCCAAAUGUAGCCAGCUUCACGCCUGUUCUGAAAGUCUGUGUAUGCCUCCAAGGUACCUUAUGUUCCCGUCAAGUAUGUAGCUGAACUCCUACACUUUUUUCAUCCCAGAACAAUGCAGCAAAGUGCAGGGCCCUCCCGCAAUGCCCUGCCUGUUUCCACCACCUCCUUAGGGUGCUUGGAUUUACAGGACAUGGAAAGCUAUCUAUUCAAAUAGGGUUCUAGAUCCUCUUGGGAAAAUGAGAUAGAACUGCUUCAUAUGGCACGCUGAAAUGAAAAUCCCUGGCCCUGCCAACUCACAGUCCUUUAAAGGUAGUCAUUAGACUUCUCCUCACCUACCAUAGACUACAAACACCGGAAAAUGUGGCAAGCUGACAAGAAAGGCUGUCUUAUCACUGAAGAGUCUCUAUCUAAGAUGUAGGGCAGAACUAGCAAGCUGAAAUCUAGGUUUAUGGGGUAAACUUGCCUUGAUACUGCACUAUUGUUGAGGGAAGGAAACAGGCACCUGCCAAAGAAGGUCUGUAAAACAGAUGCAUCACAUACAUUACGUAAGUCGUGCUUUUUAAGAGGCUCUCUGCAGUCACUGAAGCAGGCCAGCCCAG
ensembl:lncRNA